CAUCUGUGAUCAUCAUUGUGGUUCUGGUUCUGAUUCUAAUCGUCGCUGGACUGCUGCUGUUGAUUUUGUUUUACAGCAAAAGACGUCGAGCUCAAGAUCCUGAUUCAGACUUGACAACCGCUCACCAAGGACCAGGAAACAAUGAAUCAGUGCCUCCUCAUGAAUAUGACGAGAUUAAAGACAUCAAACAGCCCACUGAGUCAGAAUCAGGAACAAUCACAGAUAGCAAUACUGCACGAUUACCCACAAUCCCCCCUGAUGCUCCUAAAACUGUUUAUUCUACUGUUCAACAAAAUCAAACUUCUGGAUUAUACAAAAUUCAUUAGCUUCAUCUUUGUUACCCCAAUGUUGAGGAAACUAGAUAUGUGCAAACCAUGUGGCAUCCAGUGACUUCUCUUCCAAGGGGCGCAAAUUCAAAAUAUGUGCUUAGAUUGUCAUGUGUGUUGCUUGUCAUUUUAAAAUAUGUGUACAGUGCGUCACGUGAACCUAUGUGUUGUCAAAAUACAUGCCUGUUGCUGCACACGCGUCAAACGAGUUAAUGAUAAAAGAGACGCUCACGUUCACAAAAUACUCUCAAUACACUCACUUAACACUUAACUCUGAUUAUACAUGAGAUUAGGCGAGUAUCUCUUUUAUCACAAACUCCUUUGAAGUGUCUGCAGCAGACUCGUAUUUUGACAAGACGCAUGAUGAACAUGGUUUACAUGAUGCGCCAAACACAUAUUUUGAUAUGACGAACCACACACAUGACAUGAUAAAUACAGGUUGUGACGAGCUUUACAUUCUGUUCCCUCAAAAAAGAAGUCACCGGCUGCCAAUGGUUUCUUGGCUUAUGUAACAUAUCAAUUAAAAGCAACUAUGUGCCACUAGAGGUCGCCAAACAACAAAAAGUCACAGCUUGAUGAUGAGAGUUUUAAGCUUCACCUCCACUGCUGAUUGAAAAUGAAGGGAAUUACAAAUCAUGCUUAUUUGGAUAAUGUAAUGAAAUAAAGUUUUAUAACCAUUAAGUCAUACUGUAACGUAGUAGAGUUUCAUGCUAGACUCUAUAACAACUACUUUCAUAUACAGUGCUGCACAGAUCAAUCAGAAUGACAUAAAAAGUCUCAAGAUAGCAACUUAUUAUACUGUUUUCAAUUUGCUCUUGUGAUGCAAUGAUAUCAUACUCAGAUUGGUCUGCACAGUGGUGGAUUAAGUCAAACUUACUUUAGAACAACCUGAGUUACAGUAAAUAUAGUUCUUUUAGAGUCCCUUAUAUCUGUUCAACAAACAGGGACAUUUUAAUAUUUAUAUAACUGUAUAACUGAAAAGC